UGGGGAAUUUUGGACAAUGGGCGAAAGCCUGAUCCAGCAAUGCCGCGUGUGUGAAGAAGGCCUUCGGGUUGUAAAGCACUUUUGUCCGGAAAGAAAACGUCGUGGUUAAUACCCGUGGCGGCUGACGGUACCGGAAGAAUAAGCACCGGCUAACUACGUGCCAGCAGCCGCGGUAAUACGUAGGGUGCAAGCGUUAAUCGGAAUUACUGGGCGUAAAGCGUGCGCAGGCGGUCCGCUAAGACAGAUGUGAAAUCCCCGGGCUUAACCUGGGAACUGCAUUUGUGACUGGCGGGCUAGAGUAUGGCAGAGGGGGGUAGAAUUCCACGUGUAGCAGUGAAAUGCGUAGAGAUGUGGAGGAAUACCGAUGGCGAAGGCAGCCCCCUGGGCCAAUACUGACGCUCAUGCACGAAAGCGUGGGGGAGCAAACAGGAUUCAGAUACCCUGGUAGUCCACGCCCUAAACGAUGUCAACUAGUUGUCGGGUCUUCAUUGACUUGGUAACGUAGCUAACGCGUGAAGUUGACCGCCUGGGGAGU
rnacentral:rRNA from 1 species